GAUGAACGCUGGCGGCGUGCUUAACACAUGCAAGUCGAACGGAAAGGCUCCUGCUUGCAGGGGUACUCGAGUGGCGAACGGGUGAGUAACACGUGGGUGAUCUGCCCUGCACUUCGGGAUAAGCCUGGGAAACUGGGUCUAAUACCGGAUAGGACCACAUUUUGGAUGGUGUGGUGGAAAGUUUUUCGGUGUGGGAUGAGCUCGCGGCCUAUCAGCUUGUUGGUGGGGUAAUGGCCUACCAAGGCGUCGACGGGUAGCCGGCCUGAGAGGGUGUACGGCCACAUUGGGACUGAGAUACGGCCCAGACUCCUACGGGAGGCAGCAGUGGGGAAUAUUGCACAAUGGGCGCAAGCCUGAUGCAGCGACGCCGCGUGGGGGAUGACGGCCUUCGGGUUGUAAACUCCUUUCGCUAGGGACGAAGCGCAAGUGACGGUACCUGGAGAAGAAGCACCGGCUAACUACGU
rnacentral:rRNA from 1 species